GUAGGUGAACCUGCGGAAGGAUCAUUACUGAGGUUUCCUGGCGCACGCUGGGGAUACCCGACCUAUUGUCAUGUGCACGUGUUGGGGAGGAACGGUGGCGAGCAGCGUGUGGCUUGGGAUGGACCGUACCCGAGAGGGAGGAUCUGGACCGGCCCGCGUUGCCGCUGGCGCCCCGAAACGAACCCUUAACUUCGGCGGAAGAGGU
rnacentral:misc_RNA from 1 species